UGGGGAGCAAAUAGGAUUAGAUACCCUAGUAGUCCACGCCGUAAACGAUGAGAACUAAGUGUUGGAGGAAUUCAGUGCUGCAGUUAACGCAAUAAGUUCUCCGCCUGGGGAGUAUGCACGCAAGUGUGAAACUCAAAGGAAUUGACGGGGGCCCGCACAAGCGGUGGAGUAUGUGGUUUAAUUCGAAGCAACGCGAAGAACCUUACCAGGGCUUGACAUCCCACUAACGAAGCAGAGAUGCAUUAGGUGCCCUUCGGGGAAAGUGGAGACAGGUGGUGCAUGGUUGUCGUCAGCUCGUGUCGUGAGAUGUUGGGUUAAGUCCCGCAACGAGCGCAACCCUUGUCGCAUGUUACCAGCAUCAAGUUGGGGACUCAUGCGAGACUGCCGGUGACAAACCGGAGGAAGGUGGGGAUGACGUCAAAUCAUCAUGCCCCUUAUGGCCUGGGCUACACACGUACUACAAUGGCGACCACAAAGAGCAGCGACACAGUGAUGUGAAGCGAAUCUCAUAAAGGUCGUCUCAGUUCGGAUUGAAGUCUGCAACUCGACUUCAUGAAGUCGGAAUCGCUAGUAAUCGCAGAUCAGCAUGCUGCGGUGAAUACGUUCUCGGGCCUUGUACACACCGCCCGUCAAACCAUGGGAGUCAGUAAUACCCGAAGCCGGUGGCAUAACCGCAAGGAGUGAGCCGUCGAAGGUAGGACCGAUGACUGGGGUUAAGUCGUAACAAGGUAUCCCUACGGGAACGUGGGGAUG
rnacentral:rRNA from 1 species